rnacentral:tRNA from 1 species
CGGAGCGUAGCGCAGCCUGGUAGCGCAUCUGCUUUGGGAGCAGGAGGUCGCGAGUUCAAAUCCCGCCGCUCCGACCA